GGCAAAGUUUCAGUGCAUUCCGUUGAUGUAGACGGCGUGAAACCGGAAACAACAAAUAUGCCGGCUAACUGUGCAGCAUACAGUUACACACUACGUCGUACGAUUGAGACAAGGAAACAUGGAAUGACUUUUCAUAGGUUUCCCAGAGACUAUGGGUUGAGGAGGAAUUGGAAGUUUAUCUGCUUAGACCUGGUGUCAUUCCAUCAGUGUUAAACUUCCCGGCUCAUCUUGGAAGAGUAUGUGCCAGAAAGACCACGACCAAGCAGCCUUGAGAUCUUAGCAGCGUCUCCCUCAGGUCCCUCUCUAUCUCCCCACACAUCCACCAACCACUGGAACACAUCUCCAAAGUUCUGCCGGGCCAGCUCAGCUUCCCCUCAGAAGAAGUGCUGCCACCUGCCAGAUGAAGGAGCCUUUUGAGAGGCAGCUGGCAUCGUGAUUGGACUGUACUUUGGUCUGUUCCAAUCCAGCUUCAGCUCCAGAGACAGCAGGUGGGACGAGUCAACGGAGGCUGGGUGGAUGAAGGCAUGCAGCUGAGUACAAUCCAGAAAACAACAGAGGAGGAGUGCAGUGGUCCAGAACAAACAGAUUAGCAUCAUAUGUCUCUGAGAAAACAUCAUAGUAUAGCCUUUGGUAUGAAAAAAACGCCAUCAUAUACAUCGUAUAUUGUACAAAUAACAAGUCAAAGCAAAGAGACAUACAUUGUAGAAUUGUAGUAAUUGUGGGCUGACUGAUUUACUGAUUAUCAGUAUUUUAUUUUUUACUGAUUUACGGUAAUAAAUACAUUUAAAAAUGGU